rnacentral:rRNA from 1 species
GACAGAGGUCCCGAGCGUUAGGCGGAAUCACUGGGCUUAAAGCGUGUGUAGGCGGAUUUGUAAGUACCUUGUGAAAUCCCACGGCUUAACCGUGGAACUGCUCGGUAUACUGCGAAUCUUGGGCCAUCUAGGGGCUACCGGAACAAGUGGUGGAGCGGUGAAAUGCGUAGAUAUCGGAAGGAACAUCAGUGGCGAAAGCGGCUUCCUGGACCAGUACCGACGUUCAGGCACGAAAGCGUGGGGAGCAAACAGG